rnacentral:rRNA from 1 species
AGUGAACGCUGGCGGUAGGCCUAACACAUGCAAGUCGAACGGCAGCACAGUAAGAGCUUGCUCUUACGGGUGGCGAGUGGCGGACGGGUGAGGAAUACAUCGGAAUCUACUUUUUCGUGGGGGAUAACGUAGGGAAACUUACGCUAAUACCGCAUACGACCUACGGGUGAAAGCAGGGGAUCUUCGGACCUUGCGCGAUUGAAUGAGCCGAUGUCGGAUUAGCUAGUUGGCGGGGUAAAGGCACACCAAAGCGACGAUCCGUAGCUGGUCUGAGAGGAUGAUCAGCCACACUGGAACUGAGACACGGUCCAGACUCCUACGGGAGGCAGCAGUGGGGAAUAUUGGACAAUGGGCGCAAGCCUGAUCCAGCCAUACCGCGUGGGUGAAGAAGGCCUUCGGGUUGUAAAGCCCUUUUGUUGGGAAAGAAAAGCAGCAGGUUAAUACCCCGCUGUUCUGACGGUACCCAAAGAAUAAGCACCGGCUAACUUCGUG